rnacentral:rRNA from 1 species
AUUGAACGCUGGCGGCAGGCCUAACACAUGCAAGUCGAACGAGUGGCGGACGGGUGAGUAAUGUCUGGGAAACUGCCCGAUGGAGGGGGAUAACUACUGGAAACGGUAGCUAAUACCGCAUACCAUCGGAUGUGCCCAGAUUGGAUUAGCUAGUAGGUGGGGUAACGGCUCACCUAGGAGACGAUCCCUAGCUGGUCUGAGAGGAUGACCAGCCACACUGGAACUGAGACACGGUCCAGACUCCUACGGGAGGCAGCAGUGGGGAAGAUGGGGCAAUGGGCGAAAGCCUGAUGCAGCAAUGCCGCGUGUAUGAAGAAGGUCUUCGGGUUGUAAAGUACUUUCGGCGAGGAGGCGUUACUCGACGAGAAAGCACCGGCUAACUCCGUGCCAGCCGCCGCGGUAAUAC